AAUCAACGCUGGCGGCGUGCCUCAGACAUGCAAGUCGAACGCGAAAGUUUCCUUCGGGAGAUGAGUAGAGUGGCGCACGGGUGAGUAACACGUGAGUAAUUUACCUUCGGGUGGGGAAUACUAACCGGAAACGGUUGUUAAUACCGCAUAAUGCAGCGGCAUCAAUGAUGACAGUUGUUAAAGCGGGGGAGUUGGAGCAAUCCGACCUCGCGCCUGAAGAGAAGCUCGCGGCAGAUUAGCUAGUUGGUAAGGUAAUGGCUUACCAAGCGACGAUCUGUAACCGGCCUGAGAGGGCGGUCGGUCACACUGACACUGAAUAACGGGUCAGACUCCUACGGGAGGCAGCAGUCGGG
rnacentral:rRNA from 1 species